UUUACGUCGGCCUUCGCGAGCGUCUGGGCGGGUGGUAGGUGAGUGGGUAUUGCGGGCUAGUAUCCGAGCAAAAGAUGGUGGCGCAGGCCGAGUUAAGAGCUUUAAUCCUGUGAAGACAUCUUAGUGAAGAGUUUAGAGUGCUGAGAGUUGAAAGCUUGCACGUGGGAAACGUGCGGCCGGACUGCCACAUGUACUGAGGUUGAGUCGUGACGGCCACAGGCUCCGAGUUUUGGCGUGAGGAACCGCUGAUCGGCCACGGGCGCCGAACUUGCUGGCCUCCGGCAUGUGCCUGAGCGGCGGCGGAAAAACCACCUUAAUUGGGGCGGAGGGUUAGUUUUAACAGCAAAGGGCCUUUACUAAAAUGGCGAAGGCCUUCCGUCGGCGUUGUUUUAAAAUGGGAAGCCUCGACCCUGUAUUGAAACUGAGCUGUUCGAAGGCGGCGUUGUGUGCAAUUCGGAUUAAUGAAGGGGAAGGGUUUUGUGUGGAAAAACGCCUUGGAGUGUGACAUUUCUGCGAGAAUGCUUAAAUACCGAUUUCCCGCAGGAACAAUGGCGCUGUCUUCAGUGGCACAGUGGAGCAGCUCUGAAGAUGCAAAGAUACACGAAAAAACUUCCAGAACAUCUGGGAGAAUAUUUAAUGGAAAAUCGCUUGGUUAAAACCUGACACUUUUAACAGUGAACAGCGUUCUGAGUGUGGACGAGUAGCCAGUGAAGAUAAUGAAUGUCGAAUGUGACUGACUAGCAGCUUCAUUUUGAAUGAGGGUCGCUGUCUGCCCAUUGAUAGAGGCCAGAUUGUCUUGGAAGUUCCAAAGUUGCAACGAUUUCUGGCUAGUGCCACGAGGUUUACUUGACUGUUGUGUGAAAAGCUGAUAAGAAAACCAUCCAGAAAAAAGCUCUUCGUUUUACAAACAUGAAAAUAAAACAUGUAAUUUUGGAUUAUGUUCCUUUUUGUUAUUACUUUUAAAUAGGUCCUGAAAUAACAUGGGGAGCAUUAAAUGGAAAAUCCACUAACCAGCCUUGUAAUCAAAUUACUUGAAAUGAGAGCUCACUGUGUAGCCCAAGCUGGUCUUGAACUCCAGACCUCAAGUGGUCUUCCUGCCUCAGCCUCCUGAGUAGCUGGGAUUAUUGAUGUGAGUGGCCACACCUAUACCAAAUAAUUUUAAUCAACCACUUUUUUUUUUUUUUUUAAGACAGAGUCGUGCUCUGUCGCCAGGCUGGAGUGCAGUGGUGCCAUCUCAGCUCACUGCAACCUCUGCCUCCCGGGUUCAAGUGAUUCUC
rnacentral:lncRNA from 1 species